rnacentral:rRNA from 1 species
GAGUUUGAUCCUGGCUCAGAACGAACGCUGGCGGCGUGCCUAACACAUGCAAGUCGAACGAGAAAGGGGCUUCGGCCCUGAGUAAAGUGGCGCACGGGUGAGUAACACGUGGGUAACCUGCCUCUAAGAUGGGGAUAACCUGUCGAAAGACGGACUAAUACCGAAUAAGACCACAGUUUCCCCGGAAACAGGGGUCAAAGGUAGCCUCUACUUGUAAGCUACCACUUAGAGAUGGGCCUGCGUACCAUUAGCUAGUUGGUGGGGUAACGGCCUACCAAGGCAAAGAUGGUUAGCUGGUCUGAGAGGAUGAUCAGCCACACUGGAACUGAGACACGGUCCAGACUCCUACG